UGAAAUAUUAAAAUUUUUAUAAAAUAUUGCUAUUUUAUAGUUGUCUAGAAAAAUCAUUAUCAUUAGCUUAUUAUCUUAAUAUUAAUCAUCUUUAUUUAAAUAAAUAUGAUAUUUAAAUAAAAAUGAUAUUAGCUAUGUUUAGUGAGGACUAUUAGUGUUUCAAAAUUCUUUUUACCCUGACUUUCCUUACUUUCUUCCAAUUCUAUCAUUUCCAAAUUGUCCCCACAACUGAUAUUCAGAACUUUUCAGCCCCAUUCCCUUACCAAAUUUUCUCUUCUCUGAUGCCCAUCCUAUUCUGAGGCAUCAUAUUCUGCUUAUUAUUCAUACCAUAUGAUUCUUUUCUUUGUGCAUUUACCUUUGGACUAGUAGUUGUUAUGCUUAAAAUUCCCUGGAGAUGGUAAAUUAAAUUAUAAUUAUUUAUUAGUAAAAGAUGUAAUAGUGAGGGGGAUUUUGAAAAGGAAGGAACUAAUGUUCAGCUGUUGGGGAUUGAUUACUACAUGACACUUCCUCUUUCUUUCUUUAAGCUGAGCUGUUACCAAUGGAGUCAGUCAGGCUAGACUAAAUAGUAAGUCAGAUUUUCCUUCAGCCUCCUUCUUAUAAUGAUGGAAUUUGAAGCUCCCCUCCUAACACAGAGAAUCUGUGUUUCAUGUUUGUGUGAUUCAAUGUGUGUGUGAUUCAAAGAAUGUGUGAUUCAAGUUCUAUUAUAAAUCAAGAUAUCUAAUUUAUUUGGGUAUAAGAUUAUUGAAAGAAUAAAAAAGGAUAAUGAAAUGACAGAGGGAAGAAGUCCCCAACAUUUUCUUUUCUAUUGUAGUAGAUAUUAAAAUUUGGUGAAUUAUAGUAGGGGGCAAUUUUUUGAGAGGUUGCACCAGGAAGUAAGCCAGUGAAAAGACUGAAUCUUGAGCCCCUCCCCUACACUACUUCCUGUUCCUUUUCAACUGUUUGGGAAAUGGUCUUCUCACAGAUGGAAGAAGAAACAGGAAAACCACUCUCUAAGAAAGGAAAGGCAAAGUGUCAAGAAAGAAAAUGACUUCCCUAAAAAUUAGAAUUGGACAAAUAGAAGCUAACACUUCAUGAGAUAGCAU
rnacentral:lncRNA from 1 species